AUUGAACGCUGGCGGCAUGCCUUACACAUGCAAGUCGAACGGCAGCGGGGGAGAAGCUUGCUUUUCCUGCCGGCGAGUGGCGAACGGGUGAGUAAUACAUCGGAACGUGCCCUGUAGUGGGGGAUAACUAGUCGAAAGAUUAGCUAAUACCGCAUACGACCUGAAGGUGAAAGUGGGGGACCGCAAGGCCUCAUGCUAUAGGAGCGGCCGAUGUCUGAUUAGCUAGUUGAUGGGGUAAAGGCCUACCAAGGCGACGAUCAGUAGCUGGUCUGAGAGGACGAUCAGCCACACUGGGACUGAGACACGGCCCAGACUCCUACGGGAGGCAGCAGUGGGGAAUUUUGGACAAUGGGCGAAAGCCUGAUCCAGCAAUGCCGCGUGUGUGAAGAAGGCCUUCGGGUUGUAAAGCACUUUUGUCCGGAAAGAAAUGGCUCUGGUUAAUACCUGGGGUCGAUGACGGUACCGGAAGAAUAAGGACCGGCUAACUACGUGCCAGCCGCCGCGGUAA
rnacentral:rRNA from 1 species